GGUCUGGUGGUGUAGUGGUAACACACCUGCUUUACAUAUACGCAGUUUUCUGCUUUCAGUAGGAGAUUCCUUGUUCGACUCAAGGUCAGGCCA